GAGGGAAAGGUGAAAAGCAACCAUGCAGAAUGGGUUGAAAAAGAAGUGAAAGUGCUACCGGGAUAAGGGCUAUUGAUUGCAAGUGUGGAUCGCAUGUGCUUCAGUGCUAUGCUUACCGCCGUCAUGCAUCGAUUGGGGACUGGGGAGAACAGGGUCGGUGGAGAUUCGGCUCGGUCUCGAGUGUUGUAAUCCGCCGGUCAGUGGAGCCCCCCUCGAUCGGAUAUCAGGUGCAUUGGUUGCGAUCAUUAGCCGCCCGUCUUGAAACACGGACCAAGGAGUGCACCUUGCAUGCGAGUCUAAGGGACUGGAAUCCCAUAGGCGUAGCGAAAGCGACGAGAGCGAAUCCUUUAACCGGGAGGAUGCCCCACCUGCCUUGUGCAAGGCUGAGCAUGUAGGGUGCGACCCGAAAGAUGGUGAACUAUGCCCGGGUAAGGUGAAGCCAGUGGAAACGCUGGUGGAAGCCUGUAGCGGUUCUGACGUGCAGAUCGAUCGUGUAACCUGGGUAUAGGGGCGAAAGACCUAACGAACCGUCUAAUGGCUGGUUCCCCCCGAAGUUUCCCUCAGGAUAGCCGUGUCUAAGUAGUGCCAGUUGCAUGCGGUAGAGCGAAUGAUUAGGUGUCUCGGGGCCUUACUGGCCUCGGCUCAUUCUCAAACUGCGAAUAGCGUGCGUCCGCGUCGUGUCUUAUCAGCACGCCGGGUUAAUGGCCAGACGCGAGUGGGCUGGUUUUGGUAAGC
rnacentral:rRNA from 1 species